rnacentral:rRNA from 1 species
AUUGAACGCUGGCGGCGUGCCUAACACAUGCAAGUCGUGCGAGAAAGUUCCUUCGGGAGCGAGUAAAGCGGCGCACGGGUGAGUAACACGUAGGUAACCUGCCCCCCAGUCUGGAACAACUAGAGGAAACUCUAACUAAUGCCGGAUGAGACCACGAUCCCUUCGGGGGUUGGCGGCCAAAGAUGGCCUCUACUUGUAAGCUAUCGCUGAGGGAUGGGCCUGCGGGCCAUUAGCUUGUUGGUGAGGUAACGGCUCACCAAGGCUGUGAUGGCUAGCUGGUCUGAGAGGAUGACCAGCCACACUGGGACUGAGACACGGCCCAGACUCCUACGGGAGGCAGCAGUGGGGAAUAUUGCGCAAUGGGCGAAAGCCUGACGCAGCGACGCCGCGUGGGUGAUG